rnacentral:rRNA from 1 species
GAUGAACGCUAGCGACGUGCCUAAGGUAUGCAAGUCGAACGAUAAGCCAUCUUCGGAUGGUGGACAGUGGCAGACGGCUGAGUAACGCGUAGGAAUCUCCCCCAAACUCGAGGAUAGCUCACCGAAAGGUGUGGUAAUACUCGAUAGUCUCGCAAGAGUAAAGCUCCGGCGGUUUGGGAUGAGCCUGCGUCCUAUCAGGUUGUUGGUGGGGUAAUUGCCUACCAAGCCUAUGACGGGUAGCUGGUCUGAGAGGAUGUCCAGCCAGACUGGGACUGCGACACGGCCCAG